rnacentral:rRNA from 1 species
UUUGGUUAAGUUAGAAAGGGCGCACGGUGGAUGCCUUGACACUAGGAGUCGAUGAAGGACGGGACUAACGCCGAUAUGCUUCGGGGAGCUGUAAGUAAGCUUUGAUCCGAAGAUUUCCGAAUGGGGAAACCCACCAUACGUAAUGGUAUGGUAUCCUUAUCUGAAUACAUAGGGUAAGGAAGACAGACCCAGGGAACUGAAACAUCUAAGUACCUGGAGGAAGAGAAAGCAAAUGCGAUUUCCUGAGUAGCGGCGAGCGAA